rnacentral:rRNA from 1 species
UAUCAAUAAGCGGAGGAAAAGAAACUAACAAGGAUUCCCCUAGUAACUGCGAGUGAAGCGGGAAAAGCUCAAAUUUAAAAUCUGGCGGUCUUUGGCCGUCCGAGUUGUAAUCUAGAGAAGUAAUGCCCGUGCUGGACCGUGUAUAAGUCUCCUGGGAUGGGGCGUCAUAGAGGGUGAGAAUCCCGUCUUUGACACGGACUACCAGUGCAUUGUGGUAUGCUCUCAAAGAGUCGAGUUGUUUGGGAAUGCAGCUCAAAAUGGGUGGUAAAUUCCAUCUAAAGCUAAAUAUUGGCGAGAGACCGAUAGCGAACAAGUACCGUGAGGGAAAGAUGAAAAGAACUUUGGAAAGAGAGUUAAACAGUACGUGAAAUUGCUGAAAGGGAAACGCUUGAAGUCAGUCGCGUUGGCCAGGGAUCAGCCUUGCUUUUGCAUGGUGUACUUUCUGGUUGACGGGUCAGCAUCAAUUUUGACCGCUGGAAAAGGGCCUGGGGAAAUGUGGCAGCUUCGGCUGUGUUAUAGCCCCUGGUCGCAUACAGUGGUUGGGAUUGAGGAACUCAGCACGCCGCAAGGCCGGGUUUCGACCACGUUCGUGCUUAGGAUGCUGGCAUAAUGGCUUUAAGCGACCCGUCUUGAAACACGGACCAAGGAGUCUAACAUGCCUGCGAGUAUUUGGGGUGGAAAAACCCGAGUGCGCAAUGAAAGUGAAAGUUGAGAUCCCUGUCGUGGGGAGCAUCGACGCCCGGACCAGAACUUUUGGGACGGAUCCGCGGUGGAGCAUGUAUGUUGGGACCCGAAAGAUGGUGAACUAUGCCUGAAUAGGGUGAAGCCAGAGGAAACUCUGGUGGAGGCUCGUAGCGAUUCUGACGUGCAAAUCGAUCGUCAAAUUUGGGUAUAGGGGGCGAAAGACUAAUCGAACCAUCUAGUAGCUGGUC